UUAAGUCGUUUUUUGGGGUAUCUGUACUUUAUUUUACUACUUAUAUUUCUGUUUACUUUUACUUUUACUUCACUACAUUUUGCAAUGAAAACUUGUACUUUUACUCCGAUACAUUUCCCCUGAAACAGUAUCGUUACUCGUUACUACGGAAAAAAAUAAUCAUGAGAAACAUCGGGGACUGUUGUGGAACACACCGCAUCGUACCUGAACGCGGCACGAACACCAGGUUGGGGAUCAGGGGUCCUUGCCGCGUGUUUUCUCUUCCCAGUGAUGCCCAGGAUGUUAGCGAGCGAGCGGCUACAGAUACGACUCAUUUCAUGUGGAGCAGCAAUGGAAGCUACUCGAACAACCACGGGGACCAAGAUCAACGUCCGUGGCCAUAUUUGGGCGAACUCUUUUCUUUUGUCGGAGUGAAAGUUUCUUCCUACCGGAUGAAGUGCCUCUUAUGCCGACCGAAAGCUAUGGAGAUAUUGGCCUUCAACAACACACCAACCUCAGGAAACACAUUGAGUAAUGGACUACAUCAAGCAGCACAUGGAAGAACCCUCCCUGCAGCUAUGUGAUGCCACCAGGUCCAGUUCAUCUGAUGAAGAGGACUUCUUCUUCGUCAUCUCAAGCGCAUGACAGCAGCAAACAGCUGGAUGGAGACGUGGAUCACGUUGACUUGCUGAAAUGCUUCCCAACUGCAUCAGGGCCUGUGAAGCUAGACACACUCUACCUGCACCAUCAGGGCCUGUGAAGCUAGACACACUCUACCUGCAUCAGGGCCUGUGAAGCUAGACACACUCUACCUGCACCAUCAGGGCCUGUGAAGCUAGACACACUCUACCUGCACCAUCAGGGCCUGUGAAGCUAGACACACUCUACCUGCACCAUCAGGGCCUGUGAAGCUAGACACACUCUACCUGCACCAUGUGAACGGCUCUUCAGCAUCGCAGGACUCGUCUUCAGCCCCAGAAGAGCGACACUGAAAUCUGUCCAUUUUGAAAAUCAACUUCUUUUGAAGAUGAACAAUACAUUUUUCACUUUAAAGUGA